rnacentral:rRNA from 1 species
AGGACGAACGCUGGCGGCGUGCUUAACACAUGCAAGUGGAGCGACGAACCAGGCUUCGGCCUGGGGCAGAGCCGCGAACGGGUGAGUAACACGUGGGUAACCUGCCCUGAUGAUUGGGACAACCCGAGGAAACUCGGGCUAAUACCAAAUGUGCCCUUUGACCGCAAGGCCACUGGGGAAAGGAAGCUUCGGCCUCCGCAUUGGGAUGGGCCCGCGGCCCAUUAGCUUGUUGGUGAGGUAACGGCUCACCAAGGCGACGAUGGGUAGCUGGUCUGAGAGGACGAUCAGCCACACUGGGACUGAGACACGGCCCAGACUCCUACGGGAGGCAGCAGUGGGGAAUCUUGCGCAAUGCGCGAAAGCGUGACGCAGCAACGCCGCGUGGGGGAAGAGGCCUUGGGUUGUAAACCUCUUUCAGCAGGGACGAAGCGAAGUGACGGUACCUGCAGAAGAAGCACCGGCUAACUACGCGCCAGCAGCCGCGGU